rnacentral:rRNA from 1 species
AUUGAACGCUGGCGGCAGGCUUAACACAUGCAAGUCGAACGGUAACAGGGAAAAAGCUUGCUUUUUCCGCUGACGAGUGGCGGACGGGUGAGUAAAGUAUGGGGAUCUGCCGAAUGGAGGGGGACAACUGCUGGAAACGGCAGCUAAUACCGCAUAAUGUCGCGAGACCAAAGCGUGGGACCUUAGGGCCACGUACCAUUUGAUGAACCCAUAUGGGAUUAGCUGGUUGGUGGGGUAAAGGCCUACCAAGGCGACGAUCUCUAGCUGGUCUGAGAGGAUGACCAGCCACACUGGAACUGAGACACGGUCCAGACUCCUACGGGAGGCAGCAGUGGGGAAUAUUGCACGAUGGGGGAAACCCUGAUGCAGCCAUGCCGCGUGUAUGAAGAAGGCCUUCGGGUUGUAAAGUACUUUCGGUAAUGAGGAAGGUGUGUUAUCUAACAGGUGACACAAUUGACGUUAGUUACAGAAGAAGCACCGGCUAACUCCGAGCCAGCAGCCGCAGUAA